UACGUAGGGGGCGAGCGUUAUCCGGAUUUACUGGGUGUAAAGGGAGCGUAGACGGUUUUUCAAGUCUGAAGUGAAAGCCCGCGGCUCAACUGCGGAACGGCUUUGGAAACUGAGGGACUAGAGUGCUGGAGGGGCAGGCGGAAUUCCUGGUGUAGCGGUGAAAUGCGUAGAUAUAUGGAAGAACACCAGUGGCGAAGGCGGCCGCCUGGCCUGUUGCUGACGCUGAGGCACGAAAGCGUGGGGAGCAAAUAGG
rnacentral:rRNA from 1 species